rnacentral:lncRNA from 1 species
CAUCUCCUCCAUCCGCGCGCGCAGCCGCUCGCCCCAGGCCUGGGCCCGCUCCUGUAGCGGCUGGCCGGCCAGGGAGCCCACAGUGGCGGCCCGCACGCGGCCCUGUUCCACCAGGGGCCCCAGGCGCUCGCGGAUGGCGCUGAGGCCGCGCUCGGCGCCCUCGCGGGCCCCGGCCUGGUACACUGCCAGGCGCUUCUGCAGGUCAUCGGCAUCGCGGAGGAGCCGCUUACGCAGCUUGCGCAGGUGGGAGGCGAGGCGCACCCGCAGCUCCUCGGUGCUCUGGCCGAGCAUGGCCUGCACCUCGCCGCGGUACUGCACCAGGCGGCCGCACACGUCCUCCAUGUCCGCGCCCAGCCGGGCCUGCGCCGCCUGCAGCUCCUUGGACAGCCGUGCCCGCGUCUCCUCCGCCACCGGGGUCAGUUGUUCCUCCAGUUCCGAUUUGUAGGCCUUCAACUCCUUCAUGGUCUCGUCCAUCAGCGCCUCAGUUCCUGGGUGACCUGGGAGCUGAGCAGCUCCUCCUGCACCU